CAGUAGCCGCGGUAAAACAGAGGGUGCGAGCGUUAAUCGGAUUUACUGGGCGUAAAGCGUGCGUAGGCGGCUUUUUAAGUCGGAUGUGAAAUCCCUGAGCUUAACUUAGGAAUUGCAUUCGAUACUGGGAAGCUAGAGUAUGGGAGAGGAUGGUAGAAUUCCAGGUGUAGCGGUGAAAUGCGUAGAGAUCUGGAGGAAUACCGAUGGCGAAGGCAGCCAUCUGGCCUAAUACUGACGCUGAGGUACGAAAGCAUGGGGAGCAAACAGGAUUAGAUACCCCAGUAGUCCCUGUCUCUUAUAA
rnacentral:rRNA from 1 species